GAUGAACGCUGGCGGCGUGCCUAAUACAUGCAAGUCGAGCGAACAGACGAGGAGCUUGCUCCUCUGACGUUAGCGGCUGACGGGUGAGUAACACGUGGAUAACCUACCUAUAAGACUGGGAUAACUUCGGGAAACCGGAGCUAAUACCGGAUAAUAUAUUGAACCGCAUGGUUCAAUAGUGAAAGACGGUUUUGCUGUCACUUAUAGAUGGAUCCGCGCCGGAUUAGCUAGUUGGUAAGGUAACGGCUUACCAAGGCAACGAUGCGUAGCCGACCUGAGAGGAUGAUCGGCCACACUGGAACUGAGACACGGUCCAGACUCCUACGGGAGGCAGCAGUAGGGAAUCUUCGGCAAUGGGCGAAAGCCUGACGGAGCAACGCCGCGUGAGUGAUGAAGGUCUUCGGAUCGUAAAACUCUGUUAUUAGGGAAGAACAAAUGUGUAAGUAACUAUGCACGUCUUGACGGUACCUAAUCAGAAAGCCACGGCUAACUACGUG
rnacentral:rRNA from 1 species